GUCUUUUUGAGUUAUUUUUAAAGUCUGACCUGCCCACUGAAUUUUUGAAUGGCCGCAGUAUUUUAACUGUGCAAAGGUAGCAUAAUCAUUAGUCUUUUAAUUGAAGGCUGGUAUGAACGGUUGGACGAAGUAUAAGCUGUUUCAUAUAAAUUUAUAAUAGAAUUUUAUAUUUUAGUCAAAAAGCUAAAAUAUAUUUAAAAGACGAGAAGACCCUAUAAAUCUUUAUAUUUUUUAUAAUUUAAAUUUUUUUGAUUUAGUUUAUUUUUAUUGUAUUAAAUAUUUUGUUGGGGUGAUGUUAAAAUUUAAUGAACUUUUAAUUAUUUUAAAUCAUUAAUUUAUGAGUUAUUGAUCCGUUAUUAGUGAUUAUAAGAUUAAGUUACUUUAGGGAUAACAGCGUAAUUUUUUUGGAGAGUUCUUAUCGAUAAAAAAGUUUGCGACCUCGAUGUUGGAUUAAGAUAUAAUUUUAGGUGUAGCCGCUUAAAUAUUGAGUCUGUUCGACUUUUAAAUUCUU
rnacentral:rRNA from 1 species